AAUUAAAUGUAAGUUUCAUAAAUCUUCAUCGAUUUUUAGAGAUUUAAAAAAAAGAAAUCUCUUUAUUGGAGAUUAAAUGCCAUUUUUAUUAGCUAGAUAUAGGAAUUUUAAAAGGACACGAGCUCUGUUUGGAGACACAUUCCAUUUUUGUUGUUGUGUAGCGAAAAACUACCUAUUCAAACGUCAAGCAGGACUGAUGUCUUCGUCAAAGCCCUCAUUUUCUCGAAGUCUGCAGAGUGCAUUUUUUUCUUCUGCCAUCAUUCAGAAUGCUUCUCUAAGACAAAGAAAUGUUGGUAACCAUUUUCAAAACUCGACGGGAAAUCCUUUAAGGUUGGAUGAUGGCCAAAAAUCAUUUGGCAACUAAUUCUCUGCACUUUCGCUCUCUUUCUCUUAUAAACCGAGCGUGACAUUAUCGGUUAUAUUUCGUCACCUAACAUUGCAGUGUACAGUGGCAUCUACUCUAAUGCACUAGUAAAAGCGAGAAGUUGAAAGAUGUAGUUUUUCUACAUUAAUGGUAGAAUGUGAGACAAAAGGAGUAAUUACUGCUGCUACAUGGCACAACUAAUGAUUUGCGUCAACAAUUUCUUGUCUCUCACUCUGUUUGUGUCUUAAUGACUUUAUCUAUUCUUUCUUUUUCUUCUUUUAUUUUUUUAAUUAGAUAUUUAACUUUAAACGUAUUUUUUUUUAAUUUAAAUAACCGAAAAAAUUGUAGACAAACAUGCUCCAUUCGAAAUUCUUCCACGUUAGUAGUCACUAGAAAUGCAGUGAUUGGACAAUAAAUCACGAAGUUUCGUGACACGUGAUAGUACCCACACCGGGUACAAAAUACAGAACACCUGUUAGGCGUGUCGGGCAUGCGCAGUCACGAACGUAUGAUAUUCUGAUCACGUGUCAGAUUAAUUCUCUAGAAUCUCUUAGAUUGAAAGACCCUUUUUCAUUUCUGUCUCUUCUCUAGAUCGAUAGCGCAGUGACUGGGUCUUAUUACCGAGCGAUAUGUUUCUUUAAUUUGCACAUUUUUAUAUAAGUCUGAGAUUUUUUUUCGCUCUAUCUCUGCCAUCUAAAUGGUUCCAUCUCACUCCGAUUUAGCAUUUGAUGCUAUAACUUCAUAUGCAAAUCUCUCGUUUAGAUGAUUAUCUCUCUCUGCUAUCAGUCGAGUUAAGAAGUUGUAUCAGUUUUUAAUGUUACCAGCUCCGUUUAGAAAUGUUGUUCUCUUCAAAAAAUAUAUUUUUUCGGGAAUCAAUCUUCUAUUGAAAAUUCGAAAAUUCCAUCUUUUUGAUUUGAAUAUUCUGUUCACUUUGCCAUUACAGAAUAAACACGUUUGUCAGAUUUUUUGAUAUUCUUUAUACGAUAAAAUAUUCUUAAAAAUAUAUAUAUAUAUAUAUAUUAUUUUUUUUUCCGGCACAUUUUCAUUUAUGCGCCUGAAAAUCGACUUUUCCUUCAUGAUACGGGUAUAAUACGGAGAAGUACUUCGGGCAUUUUCUUUCAAAAAGAUGACAGCUGUCGUUGUCAUAUACGGUUACUUCAUUCGUAAAUGCGAUCUGAAAAGUGGUGUUUUCAUAAAUAUAAAAUUUUAAAAAUAUUUUAAUAGUUUUUUUUCCCGUCAGUGAAUUUAUAUAUUUAAUUAGUCGAGAUACUUCUAAAUGGUUUCUAGAGUAAUAAACGAUGUUUAUGUUUCGAAAUUAUAUACUUCCCAGCCUGUUAACCUAUUGGUUUAACUGCUGUAAUAAUUAUAACGUACCUUAAUUAAGAUAUUGCCAUAACCUGGAAUUAUUUAAAUUUAAAAAAAAAUUUUGGGGGAAAUAUAUAAAAAUUUUAAAAAUUUUUAUAAGUUUGAACAUAUUACUUCAUUAAAACUAAUUUAUUACUUCGAAAAUUUACGUUUUAUAUAAUUUUAAUUUGUUACUCUCUCCCCCCUCCAGAAAAAUUGUAAUAAUAAUAAAAAUAAAAAUUUCGUUCACUUUUGUGGCUCGAAAUUUUUAUUUGAAGACUAGCACAGAGACCUAUAACUCAGAAAUUCUCGUUUAUAUUUAAAGUUUCUCGUAACUUUAGAAGAGAUACAACUUCGAAGCAUAAAAGUAAUUUCGAUUUAUCUCGAACCUGACCGAAUUGGCUCCGGAAACAAUGCAGAUUCGAAGCAACUCCAUUUGUAGAUAGUUCUUAAUACGUUCAGAAUUCUAAAACUUUAUGACAGACCAAAAUAAGUUUGGCCUAUAAUCUCUCUUAAAAAUAUAUAUAUAUGUUAUAUAUAUAUAGAAAAAACAAAACAAAAAAAUUCAAUCUGUUUACUUAGUUUCGCCGCUUUCUGUCUCUCUCUCUUUCCUAUAAGUUUUGUUUAUCUAACGGAAUUUUUCCAAUCUCGACUUUCAAAUCCUUUACGCUUUUUCUCUGUGCAAUCACACAAGACCAAUCUUACCUUGAAACAAUAGUAUUUGGGAUGAAUCCUAUUCAAUCCCCUUUCAAAGAGAUCGAAGGAAACAGAAGGUACUUCAGAUAUUGAAGCACCCGAAAAAUAUUGGCAAGAUAGAUAAAACUCGGUGAAUACGGGUUUCCAUGAAGAAGCUCCGCAGAAUUCGGUCGAAUGCAAUAUGUUUGGUCGUGUUUAGACCUCCUACCGUGAAUUCUAGCUCUUCCACAUUGAAGACACCAAUAGCUUUAUUGCAACAGUAUCUAUUGUCCAAAAUAUAUUUUCCCCAUUCAGCCUCGAUAGUAUCUCCACAAUACGAAUUUUUUUUUUUUUUCUAAACACCAAUGAAAAAUCUUUUACACCUACAAUCGCCUAUUUUCUUCGCACCUAUUUCAAAUGAGAUUCGAUUUUAUAUCUCUUAAAUAUAAACUGUCAUCCUAUAUAAACAGACAACAAACACACACGGACAUAUACACAAUUUUUUCUCGUUUUUCUUAGAUGAUCUAUGGAUUCAUCAUUUUUCUUAAAAAAAAUAGCUAAAAGAUAUGAUUUUCAAAUGACGUAAAUUCGAUCGCGUCUCUAGGAAAAUUUAUUUUCUGCUGAGAUAAGGUGAAAUUGUAUUUUCAUUCUAUUCAAAACGAUUUUUGCUCGCCAAGUAAUAAGUUUCUGUGACGUAAACCUGUUCUGUUUCGUUUGUGUCGGAAUUUUUCAUUCCCCUUUUGCUGUUUUCUAAUUAAUCUAGACACGUUACCUAGCAUAACAGAAAAUUACAUUAUUAUGUUAUGGAAACGGAUUACAAGAAAUUUUAUAUAGUUACGUCACAGAAACGGAUUACAACAGACAUUGUUUCGUUACUGAACCUUAUUACACCGAACAGAUCCACGUUACGUGUCUUAAUACCGCAUUGUUACGUCAGUCAAACGUUGUGUUGAAUUGUAUUGUCUAGUUUCUGUUAAUUAACAUCAGUUAUUAUUACGACACAUUGACGUAAGAAUGCUCGUAAUCAAAUUUUAUUACGUAAUUCUUUAAACGAAUUUACGUCGUUUUAACAGCAUCGAUUAGGAAUAAAAAAAAGGAAG
rnacentral:lncRNA from 1 species